rnacentral:rRNA from 1 species
AGUGAACGCUGGCGGUAGGCCUAACACAUGCAAGUCGAACGGCAGCACAGUAAGAGCUUGCUCUUACGGGUGGCGAGUGGCGGACGGGUGAGGAAUACAUCGGAAUCUACUUUUUCGUGGGGGAUAACGUAGGGAGACUUACGCUAAUACCGCAUACGACCUACGGGUGAAAGCAGGGGAUCUUCGGACCUUGCGCGAUUGAAUGAGCCGAUGUCGGAUUAGCUAGUGGGCGGGGUAAAGGCCCACCAAGGCGACGAUCCGUAGCUGGUCUGAGAGGAUGAUCAGCCACACUGGAACUGAGACACGGUCCAGACUCCUACGGGAGGCAGCAGUGGGGAAUAUUGGACAAUGGGCGCAAGCCUGAUCCAGCCAUACCGCGUGGGUGAAGAAGGCCUUCGGGUUGUAAAGCCCUUUUGUUGGGAAAGAAAAGCAGCAGGUUAAUACCCCGCUGUUCUGACGGUACCCAAAGAAUAAGCACCGGCUAACUUCGUG